UUCAUCUCAUGCCCCAAAACAUGAUAAACAAAAGGUGCGACAGCAAUCGCUACAGUCUACGCUACAUAAUGAAUCUCGGGAAGCAGAGGUCUGCUUGUCGGAGCCGAUUAGAUGAUGAGGAGGGGGAGGAGGCAAGGGAAGAGGAGGAGGAGGAGGAGGAGACAGAGAGAUAUGAGAUGGAGUCUGACAGCGAUACCUCCAAUCUAGCCACCCUCUACUAGCGUCACUCCUCUCUAACAUUAGGCUGAGGUCUCUGAUGGAUUCUUGAAGCUUACACAAUAAACAAGGCCUUUCCCUCAUCACCUGCUUUGUAAUUCUUCGGCAUUAGGGUCCUAAGCCCUCAGAUGUGAUCUCCUAAUGCAGUAGUAAGACAUCGCGCCAUGUACACCUUGCAGGCAUGGUCACCUUACCAACGUCACGGCUUAAAGCGACUUUGGCUACUGAAGACAGUCGGGAGUGCGGUAGUCGAAACAAGCCAGUUGGCUCUAGUCAGGAAUCAGCGACUCUACUGGGAGGCAACACCUCGUCAGAAAGAGUGGUGUGUGCAUUUAAGAGUUCAGUAGAUAUCUCUACUUUGCAGGUGUUCGAAUCCAACAUGUGGCUGUCUCCCUGGGUAGACAUUUUCGACCCCGGAUGAUGCGUUUUUUCUAUCCUGGCUAUGAAUCCAUCCUGCUGUGUUCACAUGAUUGAGUAAUUGAUAAGAUCUGCAAGCUUUACCAGAAAAUACUAAUAAACAAAAGUAUCCGUGGAGUGUUUGAUGUUUCAUUACUGUCGUGCUAGAGUGUGUGUGUUCCAGCCCAUAGCAGACAUCAUUGAAUGAGAUACCUUCACGCAUCAACAAAUCUCAAAACGCACUUUCGAUUACAGUGCGAAGGAAGAUUGAGUACAUUCUAAACAUCAAGUGUACGUUUUCCAGAAUUGUAAAAGUCACAAAAUCCUUUUGUACUUUGUUAGAAUUAAAUAAAAAUGUAUAAAGUGGGUAUGUAUAUAUUGUUUUGUUAUUUACCCAUCCUGAUACCUGUACUUCUCUGACAAAAAUCAAAAGAUUUGUUAUUGUUGUAAGUUCAGGACUUUAUAGUGAUAGACUAUAUUAUUUUAUUUGAGACUUAAACCUGCAUUACCGCAAGGUUGAGUAAUCAAAAUCACUGCAAGGGGUUUGUUGGUGGUUUGUACAUUCACCCUGUGCUGCAUGAAGAGUAGUCUGGGUGUUAAGAGAUAUGGGAGUUGCAAAGUGCUUACCAACCAAAUGACUGGUGGUAUGAAGUGGAAAACAAUAAUGGACUGAUGAUUUAACCCUACUUAGCAGAGCCUGCCUUGCUGUGAAAGGCUACAAACCAUUACAACACCUGGGUCAUUUCUGACAUAGAUUUUGGCUCCAAGGGGGGGGGGGGGCUGAUCCACUUUUGUGUCCAGCUAAUAGGGUUUUAACUCAAAUUCUGCAUCUGUUGACCCAUUUCGGGGUCAUUUUGACACAUUCUGGGUCAAUGUCCCUAAAAUGGGUCAAACCCCCACAGGAACUGGAUUUGGGUCUAUUUUGAGACAGACUAUGCUAGAGGUAGAAUGUCAGACCAAUAGCACUUAAAAAAAAAAAAAAAAGAA